CGAAAAGCUAUGAAGAGGACGAGUAAGCGCCAGGAGAAUGGCCCAGAGAGCGGGGGAAAGGUGAAAGCCCCGCCCAGACGCCGGCGAUGAAUGGACCUCGGAGCUGCAGGGCGAACGGGGCAGAGCAUGAAUCUGCUCGACAAGUAGCCUGUGCCGGAGUUGCCACCGUUAUCAGGGUCAAGGGUAUAAGCGACGUCCAUCGUCGGCGUUGCCGUACUCGAAUUGAGUGAGGCUGGCUCGUGUCACCCGUCGUCAUCACGACGGGUGUUUUGUUUUCCGGGCCCAACCGGAGAACGCCGGCCUAACCAGGGUGGCACCGCGGGAGCCCUCUCCCGUCCCUGUG
rnacentral:ncRNA from 1 species